AGCGGCGGACGGGUGAGUAACGCGUGAGCAACCUUUCCUUCACAGGGGGAUAACGCAGCGAAAGCUGUGCUAAUACCGCAUGAGACUACAGAGCUACAUGGCUUAGGAGUCAAAGGAGCAAUCCGGUGAAGGGUGGGCUCGCGUCUGAUUAGCUAGUUGGUGAGGUAACGGCCCACCAAGGCAACGAUCAGUAGCCGACCUGAGAGGGUGAUCGGCCACACUGGGACUGAGACACGGCCCAGACUCCUACGGGAGGCAGCAGUGGGGAAUAUUGGGCAAUGGGGGAAACCCUGACCCAGCAACGCCGCGUGAGGGAAGAAGGUUUUCGGAUUGUAAACCUCUGUCCUUGGUGAAGAGAAGAAGACGGUAGCCAAGGAGGAAGCCCCGGCUAACUACGUGCCAGCAGCCGCGGUAAUACGUAGGGGGCGAGCGUUGUCCGGAAUGAUUGGGCGUAAAGGGCGCGUAGGCGGCCUGUUAAGUCUGGAGUGAAAGUCCCGCUUUUAAGGUGGGAAUUGCUUUGGAAACUGGCGGGCUUGAGUGCAGGAGAGGUUAGUGGAAUUCCCGGUGUAGCGGUGAAAUGCGUAGAGAUCGGGAGGAACACCAGUGGCGAAGGCGACUAACUGGACUGUAACUGACGCUGAGGCGCGAAAGUGUGGGGAGCAAACAGGAUUAGAUACCCUGGUAGUCCACACG
rnacentral:rRNA from 1 species